UACGUAGGGGCCGAGCGUUGUCCGGAGUUAUUGGGCGUAAAGCGCGCGCAGGCGGCUUCGCGCGUCCGACGUGAAAGCCCCCGGCUCAACCGGGGAGGGUCGUUGGGUACGGCGGAGCUUGAGGGCGGUAGAGGUUGGUGGAAUUCCCGGUGUAGUGGUGAAAUGCGUAGAGAUCGGGAGGAACACCUGUGGCGAAGGCGGCCAACUGGGCCGGACCUGACGCUGAAGCACGAAAGCGUGGGGAGCAAACAGG
rnacentral:rRNA from 1 species